rnacentral:ribozyme from 1 species
UUUUUUUUUUUUUUUUUUUUUUUUUUUUUUUGAUAGAACUCUGUAACGAACGUGCAUGCAAAAGGAAAAAGCUUGUUAUGUGAAAAUAAAAGCAAA